UACAGAGGUGGCAAGCGUUGUUCGGAAUUACUGGGCGUAAAGGGCGCGUAGGCGGUUCGAUAAGUCCCGUGUGAAAUCCCUCGGCCCAACCGAGGAACUGCGCCCGAGACUGCUUCUCUUGAGUCCCGGAGAGGAAGAUGGAAUUCCCGGUGUAGCGGUGAAAUGUGUAGAGAUCGGGAGGAACACCGGUGGCGAAGGCGGUCUUCUGGACGGUGACUGACGCUGAGGCGCGAAAGCGUGGGGAGCGAACAGG
rnacentral:rRNA from 1 species